GAAAUGCGAUACGUGAUGCGAAUCGCAGAGAUCGGCGAGUCAUCCAAGUUUCGAACGCACCCUGCGCUCUCAGUAUUCCUGAGAGCGCGUCCGUCUGAGCGUCGCCCCAUAUUCUCUCAUACACCUAAUCUCUGGUGUUAUGGAUCAUGGAUAUCUCGCUAUCUUCUUGGCGAUAUCCUGAGUAUAACGAAUGUACCUUGGUUAGAUCACCGGCAAGUUUAGCAUAGUGGUGUGGGUACUGCAUUGGCAUCGAGGGGUUCUGCCCUUCUAAAGUCCAGUGUUUGGUGUCCUACCUGUUAUGUAACAACAAGUUAGUGUAAAUCGAAGUCGUUCAAUAAAGAUGAUAGAGUUAUAACUUAUCACGGACCGACCUCAGAUCGGGCGCCAUAACCCGCCGAAC
rnacentral:misc_RNA from 1 species